rnacentral:rRNA from 1 species
UGGGGAAUAUUGCACAAUGGGCGCAAGCCUGAUGCAGCCAUGCCGCGUGUGUGAAGAAGGCCUUCGGGUUGUAAAGCACUUUCAGCGAGGAGGAAGGUGGUGAACUUAAUACGUUCAUCAAUUGACGUUACUCGCAGAAGAAGCACCGGCUAACUCCGUGCCAGCAGCCGCGGUAAUACGGAGGGUGCAAGCGUUAAUCGGAAUUACUGGGCGUAAAGCGCACGCAGGCGGUUUGUUAAGUCAGAUGUGAAAUCCCCCGGGCUCAACCUGGGAACUGCAUUUGAAACUGGCAAGCUAGAGUCUCGUAGAGGGGGGUAGAAUUCCAGGUGUAGCGGUGAAAUGCGUAGAGAUCUGGAGGAAUACCGGUGGCGAAGGCGGCCCCCUGGACGAAGACUGACGCUCAGGUGCGAAAGCGUGGGGAGCAAACAGGAUUAGNUACCCUGGUAGUCCACGCUGUAAACGAUGUCGAUUUUGGAGGUUGUGCCCCUUGAGGCGUGGCUUCCGGAGCUAACGCGUUAAAUCGACCGCCUGGGGAGUACGGCCGCAAGGUUAAAACUCAAAGGAAUUGAC